AAACCACUGAAGGCAACAGCACACUGGAGCUGGGGAGGAACACAAAACAGUGAAGAGAUCUGAGAGUUCUGGACAGAGCCUCAACUGUGUCCAGUGUGUUACCUCACUGAAAGCCACUCGUGCUCACCUCUUUUCUGCAGCCCGAAGGAAACAGUAAAUAGUAAACAGAGAAUGAACAAGAUGUUACACAUCCAACGUCAGGAGGAAAGCAAGCAAG
rnacentral:lncRNA from 1 species